rnacentral:rRNA from 1 species
GAUGAACGCUGGCGGCGUGCCUAAUACAUGCAAGUCGAGCGAACGGACGAGAAGCUUGCUUUUCUGAUGUUAGCGGCGGACGGGUGAGUAACACGUGGAUAACCUACCUAUAAGACUGGGAUAACUUCGGGAAACCGGAGCUAAUACCGGAUAAUAUUUUGAACCGCAUGGUUCAAAAGUGAAAGACGGUCUUGCUGUCACUUAUAGAUGGAUCCGCGCUGCAUUAGCUAGUUGGUAAGGUAACGGCUUACCAAGGCAACGAUGCAUAGCCGACCUGAGAGGGUGAUCGGCCACACUGGAACUGAGACACGGUCCAGACUCCUACGGGAGGCAGCAGUAGGGAAUCUUCCGCAAUGGGCGAAAGCCUGACGGAGCAACGCCGCGUGAGUGAUGAAGGUCUUCGGAUCGUAAAACUCUGUUAUUAGGGAAGAACAUAUGUGUAAGUAACUGUGCACAUCUUGGCGGUACCUAAUCAGAAAGCCACGGCUAACUACGUGCCAGCAGCCGCGGUAAUACGUAGGUGGCAAGCGUUAUCCGGAAUUAUCGGGCGUAAAGCGCGCGUAGGCGGUUUUUUAAGUCUGAUGUGAAAGCCCACGGCUCAACCGUGGAGGGUCAUUGGAAACUGGAAAACUUGAGUGCAGAAGAGGAAAGUGGAAUUCCAUGUGUAGCGGUGAAAUGCGCAGAGAUAUGGAGGAACACCAGUGGCGAAGGCGACUUUCUGGUCUGUAACUGACGCUGAUGUGCGAAAGCGUGGGGAUCAAACAGGAUUAGAUACCCUGGUAGUCCACGCCGUAAACGAUGAGUGCUAAGUGUUAGGGGGUUUCCGCCCCUUAGUGCUGCAGCUAACGCAUUAAGCACUCCGCCUGGGGAGUACGACCGCAAGGUUGAAACUCAAAGGAAUUGACGGGGACCCGCACAAGCGGUGGAGCAUGUGGUUUAAUUCGAAGCAACGCGAAGAACCUUACCAAAUCUUGACAUCCUUUGACAACUCUAGAGAUAGAGCCUUCCCCUUCGGGGGACAAAGUGACAGGUGGUGCAUGGUUGUCGUCAGCUCGUGUCGUGAGAUGUUGGGUUAAGUCCCGCAACGAGCGCAACCCUUAAGCUUAGUUGCCAUCAUUAAGUUGGGCACUCUAAGUUGACUGCCGGUGACAAACCGGAGGAAGGUGGGGAUGACGUCAAAUCAUCAUGCCCCUUAUGAUUUGGGCUACACACGUGCUACAAUGGACAAUACAAAGGGCAGCGAAACCGCGAGGUCAAGCAAAUCCCAUAAAGUUGUUCUCAGUUCGGAUUGUAGUCUGCAACUCGACUACAUGAAGCUGGAAUCGCUAGUAAUCGUAGAUCAGCAUGCUACGGUGAAUACGUUCCCGGGUCU